GCGAGGAUGGCGGAACUGGCAGACGCGCUAGUUUGAGGGGCUAGUGGGGUAACACCCGUGGGGGUUCAAGUCCCCCUCCUCGCA
rnacentral:tRNA from 3 species